rnacentral:misc_RNA from 1 species
UUUCCGUAGGUGAACCUGCGGAAGGACCAUUAUUGAAACUUGAAUCGUAGCAUUGAGAACUGUUGCUGACCUGUUAAAGGGUAUGUGCACGAUCGACGUGUUGCGUUCUAUUCAUCCACCUGUGCACCUUUGUGGACUUGAUUAACUUUCGCUUUCGAGCGGUUAGAAGGGCUGCUUUCGAGCUCCCUUUGUCUAUCAAGUCUAUGUCUAUAUAAUCUCUUGUAUGUCUAGAAUGUCUUGUUUAUGGGACGCAAGUCCUUUAAAUCUUAUACAACUUUCAACAACGGAUCUCUUGGCUCUC